GGGGCUGUAGCUUAGUCGGCCUAAAGCGCUGCAUUGUCAAUGCAGAGAUCGAGGGUUCAACUCCCUUCAGUCCCGCCA
rnacentral:tRNA from 1 species